rnacentral:rRNA from 1 species
UAAAGUGGCGACCGGGUGAGUAACACGUGACUAACCUACCCUCCGAGUGUGGAAUAACAUCGGGAAACCGAUGCUAAUACCGCAUAAUAUCGCAAGAUCAAAGCAGUAAUGCGCUUGAGGAGGGGGUCGCGGCUGAUUAGCUAGUUGGCGGGGUAACGGCCCACCAAGGCGAAGAUCGGUAGCCGGCCUGAGAGGGCGCACGGCCACACUGGAACUGAAACACGGUCCAG